UACGAAGGGAGCUAGCGUUGUUCGGAAUCACUGGGCGUAAAGCGCGAGCAGGUGGCCUUGUAAGUUAGAAGUGAAAGCCUGGGGCUUAACCUCAGAACUGCUUUUAAAACUACGAGGCUAGAGUUCGGGAGAGGAUAGUGGAAUUCCGUGUGUAGAGGUGAAAUUCGUAGAUAUACGGAGGAACACCGAUGGCGAAGGCAGCUAUCUGGAACGUAACUGACACUGAGGCGCGAAAGCGUGGGGAUCAAACAGG
rnacentral:rRNA from 1 species